rnacentral:rRNA from 1 species
GACGAACGCUGGCGGAGGGAGGAACACAUGCAAGUCGAACGGAAAGGCCCUGCUUUUGUGGGGUGCUCGAGUGGCGAACGGGUGAGUAACACGUGAGUAACCUGCCCUUGACUUUGGGAUAACUUCAGGAAACUGGGGCUAAUACCGGAUAGGAGCUCCUGCUGCAUGGUGGGGGUUGGAAAGUUUCGGCGGUUGGGGAUGGACUCGCGGCUUAUCAGCUUGUUGGUGGGGUAGUGGCUUACCAAGGCUUUGACGGGUAGCCGGCCUGAGAGGGUGACCGGCCACAUUGGGACUGAGAUACGGCCCAGACUCCUACGGGAGGCAGCAGUGGGGAAUAUUGCACAAUGGGCGGAAGCCUGAUGCAGCAACGCCGCGUGCGGGAUGACGGCCUUCGGGUUGUAAACCGCUUUCGCCUGUGACGAAGCGUGAGUGACGGUAAUGGGUAAAGAAGCACCGGCUAACUACGUG